GAUGAACGCUGGCGGCGUGCUUAACACAUGCAAGUCGAGCGGUGAAGGCGGAGCUUGCUCUGCUGGAUCAGUGGCGAACGGGUGAGUAACACGUGAGCAAUCUGCCCCUGACUCUGGGAUAAGCGCUGGAAACGGCGUCUAAUACUGGAUACGAGCUGCGAAGGCAUCUUCAGCAGCUGGAAAGAACUUCGGUCAGGGAUGAGCUCGCGGCCUAUCAGCUUGUUGGUGAGGUAACGGCUCACCAAGGCGUCGACGGGUAGCCGGCCUGAGAGGGUGACCGGCCACACUGGGACUGAGACACGGCCCAGACUCCUACGGGAGGCAGCAGUGGGGAAUAUUGCACAAUGGGCGAAAGCCUGAUGCAGCAACGCCGCGUGAGGGACGACGGCCUUCGGGUUGUAAACCUCUUUUAGCAGGGAAGAAGCGAAAGUGACGGUACCUGCAGAAAAAGCGCCGGCUAACUACGUG
rnacentral:rRNA from 1 species